GAUGAACGCUAGCGGCAGGCCUAACACAUGCAAGUCGAGGGGUAGAGGAAGCUUGCUUCCUUGAGACCGGCGCACGGGUGCGUAACGCGUAUGCAAUCUGCCUUGUACUGAGGGAUAGCCCAGAGAAAUUUGGAUUAAUACCUCAUAGCAUUAUGAAAUCGCAUGGUUUUAUAAUUAAAGUUCCAACGGUACAAGAUGAGCAUGCGUCCCAUUAGUUAGUUGGUAAGGUAACGGCUUACCAAGACGAUGAUGGGUAGGGGUCCUGAGAGGGAGAUCCCCCACACUGGUACUGAGACACGGACCAGACUCCUACGGGAGGCAGCAGUGAGGAAUAUUGGUCAAUGGACGCAAGUCUGAACCAGCCAUGCCGCGUGCAGGAUGAAGCAUCUAUGGUGUGUAAACUGCUUUUGUACGGGAAGAAACACUCCUACGUGUAGGAGCUUGACGGUACCGUAAGAAUAAGGAUCGGCUAACUCAGUGCCAGCCGCCGCCGUAACAC
rnacentral:rRNA from 1 species